CGGAGACACGGGCCUUCCUCAUGGUGGCCUCCUGGGCUUGCUGGUCGUGGCCCUUGGCCGCCGCUCCCAGCUGCUGCUGCUGGGUCAUCCCGCGUCCGGGCAACCACCCCGCGGUGGACGGGCCGUCUGGGUUGUCGCCACGCUCAGGGUCCUCGUUUCCGUUGGAUGACGACCGGCGCGGGCUCCCGACCUCCGUGGACGAGUUGGACGGCUCUUCCGCCACCUCAGCGCUGGCUCCGGACGGGCCCAGACCCAGGAACUGCCUCGGCACGAUGGCACUCUCGUUCUUGCCCUCCUAAUAAGAACGAUAGAAGAGGAAUUGAUUCAUCAGUAAAUAAAUUUCUUGCCAAGUCAAAUUAUCAAUCCCUAGUUAGGUUAGGAGUAGUAGUAAAGUAGUAAGAAUAGUACCUCGUGAGUCGGAGGCUGUUGCGGUUGGGCCGGAGGCAUCUGGGUCCUUUGCUGCAUGAGCGUGACGAGAUGCAUCUGCAGCGCAUGGUAGCUGUUAUUGACCUGGGUCAACAUCCCUCGCAGCCGCUGGUUCUCGUCGUUCAUGCGGCUCAGCUCGGCCUGCAUCGCCGCGAGCUGCAGCAGGACGCGACACGCGUAAGUUAAUACCGAUCGAGUCAAACAUCACCAGCCAGAUCCACCAUGUUCGCCAUCGACAACGCUAAUCGACGAGAUCGAGAUUGUAUGGACAGAUCCUACGUACCUCGCCGGUGUUCCUGCCGUUACUGUCCUCAUCGGCCCGGGACGCCCCGUCGUCGUCGACUACCAUGGACCGGUCGCGCCUCGUGUUGUUCCCGGAAAGGAGCUGAACGCGCAACGAUCCAAAGGCAAGUAUUAGAUCGCGGUCCGUAGGAAAACAAGCGGUACCUUAUGGCAAGUCUUGCCAUUUAGUAAGAAAUAAGAAUGGGUGAAGAAGCAAAGCAGUGGCGGGCGGGCGGACGUACGUUAAUGGUGAGGUCCUCCUUCUUGAUGGCGAGUCCGGCGGCGGAGGCCUGAUCCUUCUGGUCGUCCGCGUCGGCACCGGCCGAAGCCCGGCUCUUCUUCAUGUUCUUCUUCUCGUCGGAGAAGAAGUCAACCUCGAUAGACCUCCUGCCCCUGCCGCCGC
rnacentral:lncRNA from 1 species